UACAGAGGGUGCAAACGUUGUUCGGAAUUACUGGGCGUAAAGCGCGUGUAGGCGGCUAAGUAAGUCGGGCGUGAAAUCCCACGGCUCAACCGUGGAAGUGCACUCGAAACUGCAUAGCUAGAGUCCUGGAGAGGAAGGUGGAAUGCUUGGUGUAGAGGUGAAAUUCGUAGAUAUCAAGCGGAACACCGGUGGCGAAGGCGGCCUUCUGGACAGUGACUGACGCUGAGACGCGAAAGUUAGGGGAGCAAACGGG
rnacentral:rRNA from 1 species